rnacentral:rRNA from 1 species
UACGAAGGGUGCAAGCGUUACUCGGAAUUACUGGGCGUAAAGCGCGCGCAGGCGGUCCUUUAAGUCUGAUGUGAAAGCCCACGGCUCAACCGUGGAGGGUCAUUGGAAACUGGGGGACUUGAGUACAGAAGAGGAAAGCGGAAUUCCACGUGUAGCGGUGAAAUGCGUAGAGAUGUGGAGGAACACCAGUGGCGAAGGCGGCUUUCUGGUCUGUAACUGACGCUGAGGCGCGAAAGCGUGGGGAGCAAACAGG